GGAGUUGUGGUUCAGAGGUAGAGCACUCGCCUAUCACGCGUGAGGCACUGGGUCGGAUCCUCAGCACCA
rnacentral:tRNA from 1 species